UCAGCUGGAUAGCUGUGUGGUUGGUUAGAGUGUGGUGCUGAUAACGCCAAGGUUGCAGGUUCAAUCCCUCUAUGGGACAGCUGCA